GACGAACGCUGGCGGCAUGCCUAAUACAUGCAAGUCGAGCGAACAGAUGAAGUGCUUGCACUUCUGACGUCAGCGGCGAACGGGUGAGUAACACGUAAGGAAUCUACCUAUAAGCGGAGGAUAACAUUCGGAAACGGGUGCUAAUACCGCAUAAUAUUUUCUUCCGCAUGGAAGAAAAUUGAAAGACGGCUCUGCUGUCACUUAUAGAUGACCUUGCGGUGCAUUAGUUAGUUGGUGGGGUAACGGCCUACCAAGACGAUGAUGCAUAGCCGACCUGAGAGGGUGAUCGGCCACAUUGGGACUGAGACACGGCCCAAACUCCUACGGGAGGCAGCAGUAGGGAAUCUUCCGCAAUGGGCGAAAGCCUGACGGAGCAAUGCCGCGUGAGUGAAGAAGGCCUUCGGGUCGUAAAACUCUGUUAUAAGAGAAGAACAAAUUGUAGAGUAACUGCUACAGUCUUGACGGUAUCUUAUCAGAAAGCCACGGCUAACUACGUGCCAGCAGCCGCGGUAA
rnacentral:rRNA from 1 species